AACGAACGCUGGCGGCAGGCUUAACACAUGCAAGUCGAACGCUCCUAGCAAUAGGGGAGUGGCAGACGGGUGAGUAACGCGUGGGAAUCUACCCAGCCCUUCGGAAUAGCUCCGGGAAACUGGAAUUAAUACCGAGUACGCCUACGGGGAAAGGAUUAUCGGGUUGGAUGAGCCCGCCGUUGGAUUAGCUAGUUGGUGAGGUAAUGGCCCACCAAGGCGACGAUCCAUAGCUGGUCUGAGAGGAUGAUCAGCCACACUGGGACUGAGACACGGCCCAGACUCCUACGGGAGGCAGCAGUGGGGAAUAUUGGACAAUGGGCGCAAGCCUGAUCCAGUCAUGCCGCGUGAGUGGUGAAGGCC
rnacentral:rRNA from 1 species